ensembl:snRNA U4 U4 spliceosomal RNA
AGUUUUGCACUGUGCCAGUAUCAUAGCUAAUGAUACUUAUCUGAGAUGCAAUUAUUGCUAACUGAAAACUUUUCCCAGUAACCGGCCCAUGAAGACUGGCAAUAUAAUUAGCAUUGGCAAUUCUUGACAGUCUACAUGGG